AGAGGAAAAGAGAAAAGGAGCUGUCGAUCUUUGCUGGUAGGACGGACAGCGGCGGGAAACUACGAGAACAGAGGGAGCGGUAGGGCGCAGAUUUGAUGGAAAUUUCAAAUUAAAAAAAUUGU
ensembl:ncRNA C17H12.34 ncRNA